CUCCUUACAAGGAUUCUGUACUCAGAAUCACAAUUCAAACAACUCAUUCGUCACAACACUUAUCUAAGUUCUCAAUAAAAUUAUUUUCAUACUAUUUAAGGAGAACCUCAACAGCUAUAGACCACUGUGCUAUUCUCCUGUUACCCCCGCUCGACCCAGUUACAAUCUUAUUACCUGAAAGGAAUUGUGAAACAAAAAGGGUAAGCACAACUAGCCCAGUAAAGAAUAUCAUGACUAAAAAUAAUUUACAUCAUCAAUAGCCUUCAUCAGUAAUAAAUCAGAGAUUUAGAACAUAUGGUAGAUGAUAAAACUUUUCAACCAUUGUUGCAGCGGAACGAGCAAUCCAUUAGAAGAGUCAAAUAGACCAUCAGAUCUAUUAUCUUCUCCAUGUUAAAAGUCCACCAAUAAUGUUUUAUCCCUGUAACAUCAAUCAAUAAUUCAUGUCCACAAUCAUAUGAAUAACUCAUAAUCAUAAUUGUGAUUCUAAAUUCCUCUUCGCACCCAGGACGAAGAUAAUUUUCAUCACCUAUCUUUACCUGAAACAUCAAAAAUUAUGGUUAUACUAAAUCACAAUUCAUGCUCAUAAUUAUACUAAUAAAUUCAUCUUUGCACUACGGUCAAAGAUAUUCAUUAACAAUUCAUCUUUACACUACAGGCCAAAGACAUACAACUGUAUUUUAGAAGAGUCAAGUAGAGCAUGAUAUCUACUAUCUUUUACGAAUUAAAAGUGUAUAAUCAAUAUUUUAUCGCUGAGACUNNNNNNNNNNNNNNNNNNNNNNNNNNNNNNNNNNNNNNNNNNNNNNNNNNNNNNNNNNNNNNNNNNNNNNNNNNNNNNNNNNNNNNNNNNNNNNNNNNNNNNNNNNNNNNNNNNNNNNNNNNNNNNNNNNNNNNNNNNNNNNNNNNNNNNNNNNNNNNNNNNNNNNNNNNNNNNNNNNNNNNNNNNNNNNNNNNNNNNNNNNNNNNNNNNNNNNNNNNNNNNNNNNNNNNNNNNNNNNNNNNNNNNNNNNNNNNNNNNNNNNNNNNNNNNNNNNNNNNNNNNNNNNNNNNNNNNNNNNNNNNNNNNNNNNNNNNNNNNNNNNNNNNNNNNNNNNNNNNNNNNNNNNNNNNNNNNNNNNNNNNNNNNNNNNNNNNNNNNNNNNNNNNNNNNNNNNNNNNNNNNNNNNNNNNNNNNNNNNNNNNNNNNNNNNNNNNNNNNNNNNNNNNNNNNNNNNNNNNNNNNNNNNNNNNNNAAGAGGUUGAGUUCAGCACCUGUGUUAUCUCUUCCGGAUGAUACAGGAAAUUUUGUGGUUUAUAGUGAUGCAUUGCAUAAAGGACUUGGUUGUGUACUUAUGCAGAACGGUAGAGUCAUUGCGUAUGCGUCACGACAAUUGAAAGAAUAUGAGAAGGGGUAUCCGACCCAUGACUUGGAGUUAGCUGCAGUGGUUUUUGCUUUGAAAAUCUGGAGGCACUAUCUCUAUGGGGAGAAGUGUGAAAUAUAUACAGACCACAAGAGUCUGAAAUAUAUUUUUACACAGAAAGACUUGAACAUGCGCCAAAGAAGGUGUUUGGAGUUAAUAAAGGACUACGAUUGUGAGAUUCUAUACCAUCCGGGUAAGGCAAAUGUGGUUGCCGACGCCUUAAAUAGAAAGGAUCGGGAGAAACUAAUGAUCUUUACCGAUCAGGCGGAGUUAAUUUCAGCAAUGGAAAAGCUGGAAUUGGAAGUGAAGUGUCCUAUGGAGAUUGAUGAGAAGCUGUUUCAGAUGCAAUCUGGUAUAACUCUACUAGAUAAAGUUAAGGAGGCUCAACUUCAGGAUGAUGAAUGUAAAACGGUUAAAAAGAAGAUAUCCAAAGGAACCGAAUCAAGAUUCAAGAUGGAUAGGGAAGGAAUACUGAGAUUUGAGAAUAGAAUUUGGGUACCGUCGGUACCAGAGAUUAAGGAAGAAAUUUUGAGCUAGGCUCAUAACUCACGAUAUUCGAUUCACCCUGGUAGUACCAAGAUGUACCAAGAUCUACGACAUUUCUGGUGGCCAAAUUUGAAACGAGAGGUUGCAGAAUGUGUGGCCAAGUGUUUGACAUGUCAGAAAGUGAAAGCAGAACAUCAGAGGCCGAGUGGGUUACUACAACCUUUAGAGAUUCCAGAAUGGAAAUGGGAACAUAUUACGAUGGAUUUCAUGGUUGGCCUACCGACAACUUAGAAAGGCUACAACGCAGUAUGGGUUAUUGUUGACCGAUUGACGAAAUCCACACACUUCCUUCCGAUCAAAAUCAGAUUCAACUUAGAUCAGUUGGAAAGGUUAUAUGUGAAAGAGAUUGUUUCGAGGCACGGAGUCCCGGUGUCAAUUGUCUCAGAUAAAGAUCCGCGUUUUACGUCGAACUUCUGAAAACAUCUACAGGAAUGCAUGGGUACAUAGUUGCGAAUGAGCACGACAUAUCACCCUCAGACAUAUGGACAGAGUGAAAGAAAAAUUCAGACAUUAGAAGACAUGUUAAGAGCUUGUAUAAUGGACUUUAAAGGAAAUUGGGAUGAUCAUCUACCGCUCGUAGAGUUCGGAUACAACAACAGUUAUCACGCUAGUAUUGGCAUGCCGCCUUAUGAAGCAUUAUACGGCAGAAAGUGCAGAACUCCACUAUACUGGGAUGAAGUUGGUGAAAGACAAUUACUAGGCCCGAAAUUGGAACAACAGACAACAGAAAUAGUCAAAGUGAUCCGGACAAGAUUGAUAGCAGCUCAAGAUAGACAGAAGAAAUACGCCGAUGCACACCGUAAAAAUGUCUCUCCCUAGAAGGGAAAGAUCAGGUUCGGAAAGAAAGGAAAAUUAAGCCCAAGAUUCAUUGGACCCUUUGAAGUUCUGCGAAGGGUCGGAGAAGUUUCUUAUGAGGUAGCCUUACCUCUAGCUCCAAAGAAUGUCCACAACGUUUUCUAUGUUUCAGUUUUACGACCCUACAAACCCGAUUACAAGGACGUGAUUGAAUAUGAACCCCUACAUUUUGACAAAGACUUAUCUUACGAAGAAAUUCCUGUUCAAAUUGUCGACCAAAAAGAGCAAGUUCUAAGAAAUAAAGUAAUACCUUCUGUUAAGAUAAUUUGGAGGAACCACAAUGCUAAAGAAGCAACGUGGGAACUCAAAGAGAAUAUGAUGAAGAAUUAUCCUCAUUUAUUUACUUAGAUUAUUAUAAGCGAUUCUGGGGACAGAAUCUUUGUAAGGGGGGAGAAUGUAACGAGACAAAUUGUUUGAGUUGUGAUUCUAAGGACAUAAUACUUUUAAGGGGGGAAAGAUGUGACAACCAAGACUUUGUAAUUUAAUUUAAUAUUUAUUGGAUUUAAUAAAUAUUUUUCAAUGAAUUAAUUAUUAGAUUAAAUAAUUAAUUGAUGAAAUUAUGGUAGAUUAAUUUAAUUAUAUGUGUUAUAUUUAUUAAAUUAAUGUGGAGAAUUUUAUUAUUUCGAAGUAUGUAAUUAUGUGAGCUUAUUGUAUUAAAAAAUAUAUUUAAUAAGCCUAAUAUUAUUUUAAUUAAUUUAAUAAUUAAUUAGAGAUUUAAUAAUUUGACAUUAUUAAUAAAUGAGAAAUUUAAUUAUGUGACUAUGUGAAUUAAGGAGAAAUUAUUAUAUGUUACUUGAAUUAAAUUAAACUAGAUAUUUGAUUUAUUAUUUAAUUGGGUGUGACAUUAUUAAACUAUAGUAUAGGAGAUUAAUUAAAAUAAUUAGAAGGUUUAUUCAUGUUUCAAGCCAAACGAGGCCUUAUGAGGAGUUGGGGGCAAUUAAACCACGUAUGGAUUAACUUACCUCAACUGUGCGCAUAAAUGACAAGUCUGUUUUGUUUUACGUAUUUUUCAUUAAGUGUUCAACCUGAGAGUCAGAGAGAUUUCAGAGAGAAUUCAGAGGAAUUGUGGGAGAAACUUUGUGAUUGAAGUAGUAUCUGAAAGAGAGAUUGUUAUCUUUACUCACUCUACGCUCUGGGUAAUUCUCUCCAACCCAAUUCUCAUUUUUACGUCAUUAAGCUUUCAUGAAAAUGGUUUCCAAUUUCUCUGUUAAAUCUCUGUAAUUGGAAAUUUUAUUAAUUUUGUGGAUGUAAAUGUGAUAAUAUGUUAGCAUAACAUGUUUUACCAUGUAUUAGAGGGUUCCAUAUCAUCAAUUUCAUAAUAUUAUAAUGUAUGUUGUUGUUUCAAAAAUUACAGAGUAUAGAAUAUAGCCAUAUGGCCCUUAUACGUAAAAUUAAUAUGUCAAAUAUAAAUUGUUUUGUAAAAUUCACACUUGUAUAUGAUUAUGCAUGCUAAAACGAAGAAAACAAAACUUGAAUGGAUGAAUUUGGUGUUAUAAUGAAUCCGUAGUGUUAAUUUUCAUAUUUUAUGUUCAAAACCUUCAAAAACAUCAAGAACAUUGAAAUUUACAUGUUUUAAUUCAGUAAUUAUGUGUUUUAACUUGUUAAAAUCAUGCUUGAGGGGUUGAGUAUUAGUUAUUUGUGUAUUACAAUGUUUGGGUAUGUCUAAAUUCGUGAAAAAAUAAGUUAAUUGGAGUUUUUUGGCCAUGUUCUGCAAUUUUCGCGAAUUGUAGAAUUGAAAUUGGAGUCUCGCGCCACGGCGCCAACUCCAUGCCUUAAGACUAGCGCCGCAGCGCCAUCGCACCGCAGCGCCAAAGACCCCACCGCAGCGCCAUCGCGCCGUAGUGCCAAGAAUAAGCCUAACAGUGGCGCCGCAGUGCCACUUAGCAGAAUGGUCCAGAAAUGUAUUUUUAAAUGCUCAAGUUUAGCAAUGUGUUAGUAACUUAAUCUAAUGAUCAUAAAAACAUGUUAGACAUAUAAUGAGGUGUUAAAAUAAAUUCUUAACAUGUCAAUAACACAUUUAUGUAUGAAUUGAAUGAUUAAAUGCAUAGUUAGCUUAUUAUUCAUGAUGUGUUAAUUGUGACAAUGAGUGUAGUAGUUUGACUAAGUAUAGUCAUAAUUCGAGUUAGACAAAAAGAAUAAACUUGUGAUGAUUAGUUACAUUAUAAUUGACUGGUAUUGUGAACGUAAAUGAUAUGUAGGAUUAAAUCAAGGAAUGAGUAUAAUUAACGUGUAAUCUACGCACGAGACAAGUUUCCUAACCCCACUCGUUAUCUUUAUAUGAGCUUAUAAGUUGUCUCUUUACAUCGAGCAAAUUCUCGUUAUUAUUGAUCAAGUACAUUUUAUUAUAUUAAAAUGUAUUAAUCUUUCAAAGUAUGAUUCUUCAAUACAAUAAUUAUUCUAUUGUAUACCUUUUGAGAUUGCUAUUCAAUUUUAAAUUAUCAGUUACUGUUGAACUUUGUUAGACUAGUGAACCCUUAAUGAUUCGACUAGUCCAUAGUUGAUGAGCGUUCUAAAUUUCAGAACCCUUGAUGAAUUAUCCAAACCAAACUUCCUUUGGUGCAGACCCUAAUGUCAAACUGAGAUGAACAACCCUGUAUAGGGGAUUACUUAUGCGUUAACGUUAAGAUAUUGUGCACAGUAUGGUACUAAGGGCUGAUCCCCCUAAGUACGAGAAGAAGAGUCCAUAGUCUUAUGACUGUUAAAGGUUUCAAGUAUAAACACUUGACAACCUAGGACAUAGUUCAAGGUCUUAUGACCCUCAGAAGUUCUUUUGUUUCUUGUUAUUCAUUCUUGAUUCAAAAGCUGAGUUUUUAUAUUUCAUAAUCCUUUAAUUUAAUCGCAGGUUAUUAUUUCAUUUGUUAUAUUGUUAUACUUGUGGGCAAUCGUGCUCACUCUUGCGUAAUAAUAACAUUGCAGUUAAAAACGAAAGAUCAGACGAGCCUUCCACUAGUAAAGGCAAGGGCAAGGUUAACAAAUGAAGAAGACUUGUUGUUAUUAUGUAUUUAUGUUCAGACUUGAAGUUAUUAAGACUUGUUAUUGUUUAUGAUUCCGCACAAAUGUUUAAGGUUAGAGUGACCUAGGAUUGUAUUUUUUUUUAUGCAGUUGAUGUAACCCCAUAAGGGGAGAUUUAUUUAUUAUUUCUAUCUAUUGCAUGGUUUGCAUUUAUUUAUGGGUAGAUAGAUAGAUGAUAUUUGUACAGUGAACACCAAAUCCUGUGAAAAUGGAAGUACCAGAUUUGGGGGUGUCACACGGUAAUUCACAUAGACAGGUUAUUCUAACAAAAUAAUAAAGAAUGGAAUAACAGCAGAAUUCACCAUGCAUGCGAUAGACCGCACAGACAGGUUAUUCCAACAGAAUAAUAAAGAAUGGAACCAGGUCAUGCGUAAUCCGCACAGACAGGAUAUUCCAACAAAAUAAUAAAGAAUGGAAUAACAACAGAAUUCACCAGGCAUACGAUAGAACGCACAGACAGGUUAUUCCAACAGAAUAAUAAAGAAUGGAAUAACAAAAGAAUUUCACCAUGUAUGCGGUACUUCGCAUAGACAGGUUAUUCCAACAUAAUAAUAAAGAAUGGAAUAACAACCCUUACGACUAUUGAAAGAAAAUAACUCUCUUCAUGAAUACGAAAGAAUAAUACCCCUUACUAUAAUAAUAAUAUCCCUUACCUCAGAAGAAGACUGGAUACUGGAAUAGUGAAGUAACAGACUUCUCUUCUUCUUUCACUUUAUAAUUUCUCUCUAUAAUAAUUGCUCUAUAGCUUUAGUGAAUUGGUGAAAAAUAACGAGGGAAUGAGCUUCUAUUUAUAGGAAAAUAUAGUUUCGAUAAUUGCACGUUUUGGGGCUCGAAAUAUUACAGUAUAAUACAUUCAUCUUUUCCUUUAUUUUUAAUUUAGUCAUGCAAGUAUUAUCAAACUUGCACCACAUCCCCUAAUAGUAAAUCAUGUGAAUCAAUAGUAAAUCAUGUGACUCAAUAGUUCUAAAUAUGUGAAAAGAUUAAUUAUAGUAUAGUACCUUCAACUAUACCUCCAGGUUUAACUUAGUCAUGCAAGUAUUAUCAAUCUUGCACCAACUCCCCUAAUAGUAAAUGAAUGUGAAUCAAUAGUACACACAUGUGAACAAAUAGUUAUAAUUCCGGUUAAUUACCCGAUUGGUCAAUAUAACCUCCAGACAUCAAUUAUUAUCGAAAUAAAUGUCGAUUUUCACUAACACUAAUAAUUCCAACACAAUGGAACAAUCAAUUUCAUCUUUAAUCAACACGAACUUAUUCAUAAUUAAUAUUAUAAUUCACAAUAUUUAACAACCAGGUCGUUCCCAGGAAAGAGGGGGUUUUCCGAUUAGGAUUUCUCCUUUUUGGCGCGCAAUUAGGUGACCAAACCUCUCCUUGACAGAACUUCUAGACAUUGUCAAUAUUGUAAAUAAUAAUAUGAAUAAAUUUGUCGUCUCAAUUAUUGAUUUAAUAAUAUAACAUAUUAUGCAGAUGAUACUAUGACAAUAAUUGAAUCAAUAAUAUUAGAGAUAUGAUGCAACAAUUACUGUAGCAAUAAUUGAGUAUAACUGAGUGACUUUUCACGUCGGCAUCAAUAAUCAAUACCGUGUGCUACUAUGCAACCACGCGUAUUACUAUACUUUUACUACCGGGUAGUUCAACAGUUUUAACGGUAACACUUUCGCCGUUAUAAAAAGAUAAUUCUGUCAUUUUCUUACUACGACAAUACAUCCGUUGUGGGGUCCACCAAUGAUUGUGCCGACGUAUGAAUAUUCCCUGUUAAAAUGAAUAUUCCCCGACCAAUCGAAUAUUAUAUAACAACUUGCUUACUUUGAAAAAAAUUCACAUAUCACCCUUAACUUUAACCUUUUAUCAAUUUGACCAUUUACUAAAUAGAAUAAUUAUAAGAAAAUUGAAUACUUUCAUUUCAUAAAAUUCGGGGUCUCACAUUCUCUAUACCAGCCCUAGCCUGGUUUGCCUCCCACCAAAAGUUGGCCUCCCCUUUCAUCAUGUAGGUAGCAAAAGCAACCUUUUGCCCCUCAUCAACGUUGGCAAUGACAAAUGCCUUCUCUAUCUCUUUUACCCAUGUUUGGGCUUCUAUGGGGUCCGUAGUUCUUUUGAACUCCGGCGGACCGACACUCUUAAAAUCCUUAAAACUAGUAGCUCGUACUACUGCAGGAAUUACGGGUAUAUUAGCCCCAUUUCUAUAAAAAGUGGCCGUUAAUAAGUUAACGAACUCUUGCAUCGGGUUAACCAAACCUCCUUCCGGUUGAUUAACAUUAGUAUCUUGAUUUUGUUGUCUUCUUCUUGGCGGCAUUUUGCUGUUAAGAUAAACAACACAUCACUAUUACUUUCUUCUUGUUAGUUAGUUAUUAUUCAUGAUUAAACAAUAGCUUCAACUCAUUACACAAUAUGUUCCAAAAAAGGCUUAUAUUGAUUUACUUCUUGUAGUAUAAUACUACAUCAUUCGUCAUUACACAGCCUAAGCUGAUUACAUUACUAUCCCCCAAUUGCUUUCCAAAAAUUGGAAUUUACAAAAGACUACCAUUUGAUAUACAAAAGAGGGUUUUACGUCACUACUAGAUACAUCAUAUUUACAUAUCUAACUCUACUCUAGCUAAUACUAGGUUACAUCUGCCGUAUGGCAUUCUCAAAAUACACAUUGGCAAGACUGGCUAUAACAUCUCGGCUGAUAGUAUGCCGAGUCUGCCCUGCUUCUAUCGGAUACCCAGCUACUUGCUACUGAAAAUCCGCAUGAGAACUCCUAUGUAUAUAGGAUAUCCUCCCAAUCUUUUGCUUCUUGGUCUUUAGCUCCUGCCUGAGCUCAAAGACCUCGUGUUUCAGCUCGUGGACCUUGUCCUUUGCCAACUCGCUCAUUUUGCUCCUCCUCCCACAUAGUCUCCAUACUUGUCUUAUCUUCCAAGACAACAUGAAGCUCCUCCUUCAGCUCCUUUACCUCCUUACAAUACUGGAUAUUUCUAUCCAAUAUUUUCAUAAACAGUGCUUUCAUUAACUCCCCUGGAGUCAUCUCUUCUUCAGGUGCUAUAGUGUUAAAAGACACCACCUCCACCUCUUCCUCAGACAUGCCAUCGAAUACAGACAUGAGGUCUAGGUUCUCCGAGUCUCCAAACUCAAUUAUCACCACCUCAGGCUCUUCUGCUAUAGGGUUUGGUAGGAUCUCUACUUGAUUUACAGACUCCUCACUUACUACAUGUAUAUCUCUAUACAUUUCAUUUUCUCUUGACAUCUACAACAAAACAAUUUAGUUUGAUUAGUACGCGUCAGUAGAAUAAUAAAAACACAUAUCAUAUAUAGUGCAUUUUUAGGUUUAAUUUCCAUCUUUUACUUCUUUGACUUUUCUUAAGGUUAUAACUUAAGGUUCUAAUUCCCCCCUUAAGUUUUAUAACCUAUUGCUUUGAUACCAACCUGUGACGCCCCCAAAUUCGGGUAUCUUCCAACCCGAUAUAUGGUGCUACACAGUACUACAGUUCACACAUACAUUCAAUUGAAAUGCCUCAAAAUAACGAAUAUGUCUUUUAUAUAUAUAUAUAUAUAUAUAUAUAUAUAUAUAUAUAUUCCAAACAAUAUUACAAUUCCCCAGGUUCUUAAUAACCAUUACAUUUGUUCUUAUCAUAAUAUCAAAUAAUAACAACAUUCGCCUAUACUAUUACAAAGGUAAUCUAUAGGUUUGCCUUAGCCUUCCCUUUAUCUUUAUCGGAUCCUUCGGUUCGUUCGGUCUUAGUUGCAUUCAUAUGGUUCAAGCAAGAGUGAGCAUAACUAGCUCAGUAAGUAUGACAAUUCCAUUUAAACAAUAUGCUUGAAACAUACCAAUGGUAUAUCUUCAAUAACUAAACAAUAGUUAUUCAGUACUAUCGAUAAUUCAAAAUAGCACUUCUCUUUUCUUAAAAUGUUUCACAAUGAACAUCAUUCAGUAAAACAUCAAUUCCGGUCUAAGACCUUGAGCAUUUCAUACUUUCUUUGAAAAGGACAACUCGACACUAAGUCCGUAAGUCUGGCAUUAUUUAUGAGCACGUCUAGGUGAUCAACCUAUGGUACUCUAUUUUGUACAACACUACUUUCUUUAAACGUAUGUACGUUUAAGUUUUGGCAACCUCACGUGCCGGUCGUUUGACGACAAAACAUUUGUUUAGCAUACUCAGUCUUCCUUUGAAAACCAUACCAAAAUAGUUUGGCAAAACUUUACAACAUUAACAAUAGUUCGAUAAAUUAUAAGAAAUCCAUAAAACAUCUUAAGUCUAGCCGAAGGAAUUGGUUUCGACUUCAUCAUACAUAAAUUCAUGUGUAAGAUACAUAAAUCACAAAGCUUGUCCAGAUUGAACAUAGAUUAGGGUUAGAACACUUGCCUUUAGAGUCUGUUACUGAUUAAGUACUUUUCCUUUGAGUCUUUAAGGUCUCUACAAUACAUGAUCACAUAACAUACCACAUUAGGUCAUAUAUAAUCAAGUAUGGUUACUACUAUAUCUUACCCUUCUUCUUAAUCUAAUUGUUCAUUAGAUUUGUUUAACAUUGGUUCCGGUUUGUCGUUAUGGUUUACAUUCACAUUCGAGUACUCUUUCUUUAACCUUUAGUUGUAUUACAUAAGGUUUAUAACAUCUUAAACAAUGUUACUUUAGGUUUAUUAAUGUAUUAAUUCUUUAUCAAUUAACCAAUUUCCUUUUUAUCUUUAGAAACCUUCUUCUCUAUUCAUUACCUAGUGUUGGCGCUGCGGCGUCAACUUCUGUUCUACAACUCGCGUUGCGGCGCGGGUUUCCAGUUGGGAUGCCUCAGUCUUGGCGAUGCAGCGCCACUCUCAAUACUAGAGUUUGUGUUGCGACGCCACAUUUCAAUAUGGGACAGUCCGGCCUCGCGCUGUUGCGCCGGCCACAGCUCUCUGGGUCGCGCCGCGGCGCGGACCCUGAGCCUCAGAAAAUUUUUGCAGUUCAUUUCUUCUGUGAACUUUUCGGGGCCAUAACUUAUUCGUUUUAAGUCCGAAUUGGCUCGUUUAAAAGCCAUUAGCUCACAAAUCACAUGCUCUAAGUGUUCAUGUAAGAAUUUUACAUUUUUGAAUCUUUUUACUCGGAAUUCACCGAUUAGGUCAUUUUAACAAAAACGAUAAACGUUCGUGAACGCUCAACGCUCGUUUCUUCGUUCUAAGUUCGAAUUUGACCAUUUUCGAGUCUGCAACUCUAAAAUGCAAACUUGGACUAUUCUCCAUCGAAAACUAACGUUUCCGAGUUCAAUGUCAAAAUUUGAUUUCCAUUCCGAGAAUUUCACGAUUUCGACGAUUAACGUCUAAUCUUGUAAAUUCCGCCAUAACUUCGUUACUUAAGAUUUUUUACAUCGUUUCAAAUGGAUUCAUUCCAUCAUACUAACAUCCUAACCAAACAUAUUUCAAUAACUUAUACACAUGAUAAGUUCUUACAUGUUCUUCAUGAAUUCAUAACUUAUAUAAGUAUGAAUUACUUAUUCAUGGCUUAUUAAGGUUUAAGUCACGACCCCAAAUUUUAUGAAUAAAGAUUUAAAUUUCUCGAAAUAUUAUUUUUUAAUAUUAUGGUGUGGAUUUAAGAUAAUGUUAUAGUUGUGGGUAGUAUUUAUAAAUUUUGCAAAGUAUGCAAGUUGUUAUAUAAUAUUCGAUUGGUCGGGAAAUAUUCUUUUUGUCGAAAAAUAUCCGUACGAUGGUACAAUUAUUAGUGGACCCCACAACGAAAUUAUUAUCGGAUUGAAAAAACGACAAAAAUAUUUUUAUAAAAAUAACGGCGAAAGUUUUACCGUUAAAACUGUUGAACUAUUCGGUAAUAAAAGUACAGUAAUACGCGUGGUUGCAUAGUAGCACACGGUAUUGAUUAUUGAUGCUUACGUGAGAAGUCACUUAGUUUUGUUAAAUUAUUGCUUCAGUAAUUGUUGCAUAGUAUCUCACGUUAUUUAAUUCAAUUAUUGUCCAUAUUUUAUAUAUUAUUAAAUCAAUAAUUGAGAUGACAGAGUUAUUAAUAUUAUUAUUUGCAAUAUUAACGAUGUCUAGAAGUUCUGCCAAGGAGAGGUUUGAUCACCUAAUUGCGCGCCAAUAGGGAGAAAUCCUUAUUGGAAAGCCCCCUCUUUCCUAGGAACGACCUGGUCGAUUAAUAUUGUGAAUUAUAAUAAUGAUGAUAAAUAUUAUUAAAUAUAUUUAGGUGUCUUUUUAUGAAGUCACGGAAGUUUAUAUAUAUAUAUAUAUAUAUAUAAAUUUUAUUUUAUUAGUAUUAUUAAUGUAAUAAAAUAGAAAAGCUUGUUAUAUAAAACAGAAUACUUUUAUAAAGUUAUUUAUUUUAUUAGACAAUAAUUAGAAUAUAUUAUAUUUUAUUAUGCAUAGUNNNNNNNNNNNNNNNNNNNNNNNNNNNNNNNNNNNNNNNNNNNNNNNNNNNNNNNNNNNNNNNNNNNNNNNNNNNNNNNNNNNNNNNNNNNNNNNNNNNNNNNNNNNNNNNNNNNNNNNNNNNNNNNNNNNNNNNNNNNNNNNNNNNNNNNNNNNNNNNNNNNNNNNNNNNNNNNNNNNNGUCCAUUCUCCUAUAAAUAGAAGCUCAUUCCUUCAUUAUUUCUUACGAAUUCACUGAAACUCUAGAGAGAGAAACUAUAGAGAGAAAGAAGAAAAGUAUUUUGCUACUUCACUACUCCUAUAUCCAGUUUGUUCUAAGGUAAGGGGUAUUAUUUCUUUCGUAUUCAUGAAGAGAACUUCUGUUAUUUCAUUCUUUAUUAUUUUGUUAGAAUAACCUGUAUACACGGGCUACCCUAUACUUGGUGAAAUUCUUCUGUUAUUCCAUUCUUUAUCAUUAUGUUGGAAUAACCUGUCUAUGCAAAGUACCGCAUACAUGGUGAAAUUCUAAUGUUAUUCCAUUCUUUAUCAUUAUGUUGGAAUAACCUGUUUAUGCGAAGUACCGCAUACAUGGUGAAAUUCUUCUGUUAUUCUAUUCUUUAUCAUUAUAUUGGAAUAAAUUGUCUAUGCGAAGAACCGCAUACAUGGUGAAAUUCUUCUGUUAUUCUAUUCUUUAUCAUUAUGUUGGAAAAACCUGUCUAUGCGAAGUACCGCAUACAUGGUAAAAUUCUUCUGUUAUUCUAUUCUUUAUUAUUCUGUUGGAACAUCCUGUCUAUGCGUUUACGCAUGACCUGGUUCUGUUAUUUAUUAUUCUGUUGGAAUAUCCUGUCAGUGCGUAUUACGCUUGACCUGAUUCCAUUAAUUAUUAUUCUGUUGGAAUAACCUGUCUAUGCGGUCUAUCGCAUGCAUGACGAUUUCUGUUGUUAUUCCAUUCUUUAUUAUUCUGUUAGAAUAACCUGUCUGUGCGGUCUAUCGCAUGCAUGAUGAUUUCUGUUGUUAUUCCAUUCUUUAUUAUUCUGUUAGAAUAUCAUGUCGGUGCGAAUUUCUCCUGACCUGGUUCUGUUAUUUAUUAUUCUGUUGGAAUAACCUGUCUGUGCGGUUUAUCGCAUGCCUGGUGAUUUCUUUUGUUAUUCCAUUCUUUAUUAAACUCAGUUGAUUAAAGUUUUGACUUCUAUACUCCAUGAAAUUAGUGGAAUAUCCUUGAUAUUUGUGCUUCAUCCAGUAUCUUUUCAUGGAAAUAUUCUUCUGAGCAUUCUUGAAUUUUACUCUAUAAAGAAGUAUCAUGUUAACAAUUUGGACGUUAUUAGUUCCUGGAUAAAUUAAUUCUUGAACUUGUUUUAUCGAAUUCUUAUAUCAUUGUCAUCAUCCUCAUGUUUAUAUUAUGUUGAAAGUCAUCUGUGGCCUGUAGUGCAUAGAUGGACUUGGUAUGAUUAUGACCAGGGAUUAUUCGGUAUAAUCAUGACCGUAAUGUUACAAAUGAUGUGGUAAAAGUCCUCAUUGGCCCGUAGUGCAUUGAUGGACAGUUGUUGGCAUGAUCAUGACCAUUGAUGAAUACACGAAUAUCUUUGGCCCGUAGUGCAUGGAUAAUUUAUGGUUGUGAUACUAAUGAAUAUCCUUGGCCGUAGUGCAGGGAUGAUGUGGAUUAUUUAUUAAACUGAGUCACAGCGAUAAAAGUGAUAAAAAACAUUUUAAAUCAUAAAAGAUAGUAGAUUUUAUUCUGUUCUUGACUCUUUUAAUGGAUUGUUUGUUCCGCUGUAGUUAAACUUGAUGUUUGUUAUAUUGUAUCAGUUUAAUACUGUUGAAGGCUAACGAUAAUUUAUUCUGCAUUAUCUUAGUCAUAAUAUUUUUUACUGGGCUAGUUGAGCUCACCCUUUCUUUCACUGUUCUCUUCAGGAAAUGAGAACAUAGCCGGGACUAGUCGGGAAAUGGAGUAACGGUCCAGAUGAUAGCAUUAGUAGUCCUCACUAUUCUGUUAAAUAGUGUGACAAUAAAUGUAAUGAGGACUCCAUUGAGUGUGGAUAUUGUCUAGAUGACAAUAUUCUUAUUAAAACUCUUAGAUUAUGUUAUCUCGUAUUUUAUACGACUGUUGUAUAAUUAAGUUGUAUUUGUAUUCUGUACCAUGUAUUUGGCGACUCAGAAUAGGUGAUGUAUACCUAUUUUGGGGGCAUCACAAUUAAUUAGCCAUUCUUAUUACUUCUUAGCAUACAUGCUCCACUAAUCAACACUUCUCUAUCAAACUAUAAUUGAAGAGAUGGAAGAUUAAUUAUCUAGAAUCUUACCCUUGAAGAUCAAACCUUGUUCUUCUUCUUGCUUCUUGAAUUAAUAAAGACUAACUUUUCUUACUUUUUCUCUCUAACAAAUAAGUUAUAAGUUGUUGGUGGAAAAUUUAAUAAGUGAAUAAUGAAAAUCCAAAGCUUCUAUUUAUAGAAAAUCCUAGUUGAGGGUAUAGUGGACUUUUAGGCCAUCCACCUCCUUAACUCCACCUCCAUAUUAUUCAUCUCUUGGUCACCAAGUAAAACCACUUUACUUGGUCACCAAGAUGAUGCCAUGUGAUCAUGGGGCCAACAUGGAUUUUCCCAUGGGUCAAUCUUACCCACCGGUUCAAUCCACGGAUCCGGUUCUUACUUUGGGCUUUAGGUUUAUUUAACCUUAACUUAAUCUUUGGGCUUCCACUAACAAACAUUAGGCUUGUACAUUAAUUCCAAUUGGACUUAACCAUUCCUACACAAAUCCUACAAGUCCAAUACACUUGCUUAAUACCUUAUACCGUAUAAUCUACGUAUUAUUCUCGUAUAGUAACUCGUAUGCUUAUUCAUUAUAUACGACAUACCAUCAUUCAUACAUACUCGUAUAAUACCUCGUAUCAUACUCGUAUUCAUUACCUCAUACAAUACUUACUUAUCAUACGAUAUCGUCGUUUACUCCUUAACGCUUUACUUUUCCUAACGUUCUUAAAUUUAGUCCGCAGGUGAAAAAUUGCAUUUGUCAUACGUGAAUUAUUAUUACAUAAUCCAUCUUCCCUAGAUAUUCUAUCGUUACUUAUUUCUCGGAAGUCCAAAAAUAAUUCCCGAACAGAAAACAGUGAAUAAUAUUUUUUGGAAAAUUUCUCGGAAAACUUUUAUUUUUGUCUUGAAAAUUCAAACACUUUAAUUCUACCACGUAGUCAAAAUACUACGACAUUCCAAUAUACCUAGGUUAUAGAACAACAUUUAUCUUAUUAACACAUAAUAAUAACAUAUAAUAUUAUUUUAUUCAUUAUUUAAUUAAAUAAAAUUAUUUUACAAUAAAUUCGAAUUUCUCGGUCGUUACAAUCAUGACAUGUAAUGUUAUAUGUGGUAAAAGUCCUCAUUGGCCUGUAGGGCAUUGAUGGACAGUUGUUGGCAUGAUCAUGAUCAUUGGUGAUAAUAACGAAUAUCAUUGGCCCGUAGUGUAUGGAUAAUUCGUGGAUGUGAUACUGAUGAAUAUCCUUGGCUCGUAGUGCAUGGAUAAUUUAGUGAUGUUGAUUAUUUAUUGAGUUGUGUUAAAGAGAUAAAAUAUUAAUGAUGAACUUUUAAAUCAUAGAAAAUAAUAGAUAUCAUGCUCUACUUGACUGUUCUAAUGGAUUGUUUGUUCUGCUACUAUUAAACUUGUUUUCUAUUGUAUUCUAUCAGUUUAACACUGUUGAAGGCUAACGAUAAUUUAUUCUGCAUUAUCUUAGUCGUAAUAUUUUUUAUUGGGCUAGUUGAGCUCACCCUUUGCUUUCAUUGUUCUCUUCAGGAAAUGAGAAUAUAGUGGGACUAGUCAAGGAAUGGAGUGACGGUCCGAGAUGGUGGCUGUAGUAGUCCUCACUAUUUUAUAAAAUAGUAUGAUAAUAAUUGUAAUGAGGACUCCAUUUGAGUUUGGAUAUUGUCUACGAGACAAUAUUCGUGUUAAAACUCUCAGCUUAUGUUUUGUCGUAAUUUACAUGACAGUUGUAUAAUUAAGUUUGUAUUUAAAUUUUGUACCAUGUAUUUGGCGACUUAGAAGGGGUUGUGUAUACCUAUUUUGGGGGCGUCACAUUCACUUCUUUGAGUUGAGGACAUUCCAUCCCAAAAAGUAUUCUUUAAAAAUGUCGGCGCCCAACAACUUCUUUCAUCGUAUAACCCAGUCAAAUUCUCAAUGAAACUAACCCAUCGCUCUUCAAAUUCUUUAUAAGUCAAUGAAUCAUAAACUGCCUUUUGCAUUGAAUAAUUGAUAGAUUCAUAUUGAUUGCAACCACUUAAUUUCUCGGGCAACUUCUUCAUAAUAUGCCAUAAGCACCACCUAUGUCGCGCAUUUGGGAACACAAUUUCAAUAACCUUCUUCAUUGCUUUAUAUUGGUCAGUGAUUAUUGCGGUAGGAGCACGACCAUUCAUACACGCAAGCCAUGUUUUAAAAAGCCAACUAAAUGACUCAAUAUCCUCAUGAGAUAUUAAUCCACAACCUAAGAAUAUUGACUAACCGUGAUGCUUAACUCCAACAAAUGGGACAAAUGGCAUGUCAUACUUAUUAGUUAAGUAUGUUGUGUCAAAGGUAAUGGCAUCCCCAAACUCCUCAUAAGCUGCCCUACUCCUUGCAUCAACCCAAAAAACAUUUUGUAGUCUCCUAUCAUCAUUCAAAUCCAUCAAAUAAUAAAAAUUUGUAUUAUUAGCUUGCAUUUUUUGGAAGUAGUUUUGAAGUGCCAUAGCAUCCCCAUCACCAAGUUUUAAUCACCUAACUUUGUCAAGAUAAUUGUAAUAAUCUUUCUUUGAAAAGGACAUAUUCUCAUGCCCACCAGCUUCAACCAAGAAAGAAGUAAAAAUUUUAUUUGGUCUAAUACCAGCUCUAUCGUUAAGUUCAAGUCUCAUUUUUCACAUACUUGCUCAUAAUCCGAUUUUUUUAUAAAAUCUAGAUUUUCCCGGGCUCAACUGAUGAUUAUGAUCAAGUGUUAGAGUCUUUACUCGCACUUUUCUGUCUUCGACUACUGCAGCCCUAAUCUUAGCAUUGCAACCAAUUUUGUUAACAGGGCGUAAGUUGAAGGCUUCUUUGACUUGUUUAUUGAACAUCAUGACCGAGCACAUGCAAGAACCACAAAUUUAGUCUCCAUUUUCUCCUUUUUUCGUUGAUCUUAUUUUCACCGGAAAUCCAUUUUGAUUACCAUAAUUAGUGUAAUAUUCUAUGUUUAAAUCAACGGAACCAAACUCCAUUCCUACUUUCGGAUUUCUAAUAACUUCAUCAACUUCUUCACUUUCUACUAAAUUCUCCGCCAUAACACAUUCCUCAAUAUCAUUCAUUCUCAUACUUGAAUUAAACUCAUCACUACAUGCCAUUUCUGUAAAUUUAUAAAAAAUUAUUAACUACAUGCCAUAGAUAUAUAAUAAAAUGUAUGACAUUAAAUUAGUUUAUCAAAAAACAUAAAAGCAAGCCUUCAUAUUCAAUAUUAUUUAGAAUUUAUCAAUUAUGUCCAUGUGCGUGCAAUGCAAACCUUAGUAUUUUAAAAGAAAAAAAUCAACCAAAAAAGUAGGACUUUAUUAGCAUCCAGAUAAAUUUCUUAAGGAGCAUUGGAAAACAAGAUUCACGCAUAUUAAACAUCUGCUUCAUUAUAACUGUUUAUUUCCACCAAAACCCUUUACUUGACUCUACAUAUAUGCUUUGUUUGGAGCUCUGAAAAAUUCAAGGGAAAAGAAUGGUUGUAGAAAAUUAAUAAAAAAAAAGGUAUAAAAUAAAUAAAUAAAUCAACACUGAAUUUUCAAUAUCACAUUCAGUUGAUUUUUAUUCAUUCAUUACCAAAAAAAAUUUAUUUUCAAUACCACAUUUAGUUGGCACCCAAAUGAACAACAUUCACAAUAUAAAGUUACAUCACGAGAAAUAUGAGAAUCUGAGCUUAUUGAUAGCAUAAGAGAAAGAUUAAAUGGGUUUUGUGAAGCAAACAGGGAGAAGAAAAGCAUCAUUGAAAAAAUGGGUUUCAAAAUCUUUAAAUUAGUUUUAGGGCAUAAAUAUAUACAUAUAUAUUAUCAAUAUUCGUACAUCAUAUAUACAAUAUGUGUAUGCAUACCUCUCUUGCUGCUGAUUUUAUUGAAUUUUGCUUCUGAUUUUGGGCGAAAAUUUGUAGAUGGCGAUUUUGGUGAGAAAGGGAGAGAUAGUGUGAUAUUGGUCGCAACGGGAGAGAGAGUCUGAUAUUUGGUAAAGGGAGAGAGAGGUGAAGUCUGACUUUGGUGAAGUUGCUAUAUAUUGACCUU
rnacentral:lncRNA from 1 species